UCAAGCUACUAAGGGCAUACGGUGAAUGCCUUGGCACUAAGAGCCGAUGAAGGACGUGGUAAGCUGCGAAAAGCUACGGGGAGCCGCAAGCAGGCUUUGAUCCGUAGAUGUCCGAAUGGGGAAACCCACCAUCCGUCAUGGGAUGGUAUCCUUCGGGAGGGGAACCCGGUGAACUGAAACAUCUAAGUAGCCGGAGGAAGAGAAAUCAAACGAGAUGCCCACAGUAGCGGCGAGCGAAGAGGGCAGAGCCUAAACCAGAGAGCUUCGGCUCCCUGGGGUUACGGACUGGCAUAAACCGAGUCAGGCCUAGCCGAAUCACCUGGAAAGGUGAGCCACAGACCGUGAGAGCCGGGUAGGCGAAAGGCAGAGCAAGGGGGCCAGUAUCCAGAGUACCGCGAAGCACGAGGAAUUUUGCGGGAAGUCGGGGGGACCACCCUCCAAGGCUAAACACUUCUUAGUGACCGAUAGCGCAUAGUACCGUGAGGGAAAGGUGAAAAGAACCGCGGGAGCGGAGUGAAAGAGAACCUGAAACCGUAUGUCUACAAGCAGUCGGAGCGCAAGCGACGGCGUGCCUAUUGAAGAAUGAGCCAACGAGUUACGGGCACCAGCGAGGUUAAGCAGGAAAUGCGGAGCCGUAGGGAAACCGAGUCUGAAAAGGGCGAAUAGUUGGUGUUCGUAGACCCGAAACUGUAGUGAUCUACCCAUGAUCAGGUUGAAGCACGGGUAAAAUCGUGUGGAGGACCGAACCGGUGAGUGUUGAAAAACUUUCGGAUGAAUCGUGGGUAGCGGUGAAAUUCCAAUCGAACGCAGAGAUAGCUGGUUCUCCUCGAAAUAGCUUUAGGGCUAGCCUCAGGCAGUAAGCAUAGGCGGUAGAGCACUGAUCGGGAUAGGGACUGUAAUGGUUACCGAACCCUGUCAAACUACGAAUGGUUAUGCUGCAGAGCCUGGGAGUCAGACUACGAGAGAUAAGUCCCGUUGUCAAAAGGGAAACAGCCCAGACCAUCAGCUAAGGUCCCCAAUGCCAUACUAAGUGGAAAAGGAUGUGGGGUCUCAUAAACAACCAGGAUGUUGGCUCAGAAGCAGCCACCAUUUAAAGAGUGCGUAAUAGCUCACUGGUCGAGAGGCCCUGCGCCGAAGAUUCCCGGGGCUAAAGUAUGGAACCGAAGCUAUGGAUGCAUACUUAGGUAUGCGUGGUAGAGGAGCGUUCCCAUCGGGUUGAAGUCGUCCUGUAAGGGACGGUGGACUGGUGGGAAGUGAGAAUGUUGGCAUGAGUAGCGAAAAGAAUGGUGAGAAUCCAUUCCACCGAAAGCAUAAGGAUUCCUGAGCAACGAUCGUCGUCUCAGGGUAAGUCGGGACCUAAUCCGAGGCAAAGAGCGUAGGAGAUGGACAACUGGUUGAUAUUCCAGUACCGGCAGUGAUCGUUUGAACGAAGGAGUGACGCAGGAAGGCAGGUCCGCACGAGAUUGGUAGAUCGUGUGCAAGCGUGCAGGCUGGUUACCAGGCAAAUCCGGUAACUGAGGCUGAGGCGUGAUGCGGAGGGAACUUGUUCCCGAAGGGAUUGAGCCUACGCUGCCGAGAAAAGCUUCUAGUGAGAAAGCUGCCGCCCGUACCGUAAACCGACACAGGUAUGCGGGGAGAGAAUCCUAAGGUGCGCGGGAGAACCCUCGUUAAGGAACUCGGCAAAAUGUACCCGUAACUUCGGGAUAAGGGUAGCCACAAAGGUGAAGGGACUUGCUCCCGGAGCCCGGUGUGGUCGCAGAGAAGAGGCCCAAGCGACUGUUAACCAGAAACACAGGUGCCUGCGAAAGAGAAAUCUGAAGUAUAGGUGCUGACACCUGCCCAGUGCUGGAAGGUUAAAGAAGGAUGUCCGGGUUCGACCCAAAGCAUUCGACUGAAGCCCCAGUGAACGGCGGCCGUAACUAUAACGGUCCUAAGGUAGCGAAAUUCCUUGUCGGGUAAGUUCCGACCCGCACGAAAGGUGU
rnacentral:rRNA from 1 species